GCCAGGCAUGGUGGCUCAUGCCUGUAAUCCCAGCACUUUGGGGGGCUGAGGCAGGUGGAUCACCAGAGGUCAGGAGUUUGCGACCAGCCUGGCCAACAUGGUGAAACCCUGUCUCUA
rnacentral:SRP_RNA from 1 species